GGCGUGGCUUCCGGAGCUAACGCGUUAAGUCGACCGCCUGGGGAGUACGGCCGCAAGGUUAAAACUCAAAUGAAUUGACGGGGGCCCGCACAAGCGGUGGAGCAUGUGGUUUAAUUCGAUGCAACGCGAAGAACCUUACCUACUCUUGACAUCCAGAGAACUUUCCAGAGAUGGAUUGGUGCCUUCGGGAACUCUGAGACAGGUGCUGCAUGGCUGUCGUCAGCUCGUGUUGUGAAAUGUUGGGUUAAGUCCCGCAACGAGCGCAACCCUUAUCCUUUGUUGCCAGCGGUUAGGCCGGGAACUCAAAGGAGACUGCCAGUGAUAAACUGGAGGAAGGUGGGGAUGACGUCAAGUCAUCAUGGCCCUUACGAGUAGGGCUACACACGUGCUACAAUGGCGCAUACAAAGAGAAGCGACCUCGCGAGAGCAAGCGGACCUCAUAAAGUGCGUCGUAGUCCGGAUUGGAGUCUGCAACUCGACUCCAUGAAGUCGGAAUCGCUAGUAAUCGUAGAUCAGAAUGCUACGGUGAAUACGUUCCCGGGCCUUGUACACACCGCCCGUCACACCAUGGGAGUGGGUUGCAAAAGAAGUAGGUAGCUUAACCUUCGGGAGGGCGCUUACCACUUUGUGAUUCAUGACUGGGGGAAGU
rnacentral:rRNA from 1 species